rnacentral:misc_RNA from 1 species
GAAAUGCGAUACGUCAUGCGAAUUGCACUACCAGCGAGUCAUCAAAACUUUGAACGCAACUUGCACUUCUCGUUAAGAGGAGUAUGUCUGUUGGAGUGUCUGUUUCUCCCCACUCUCUUUUAAAAAGAGAAUGUCCGUGCUUUUCUUCAAAUAAAAAGCAUGCAGAUGCAAAUACACCAAUCUGCGUAGUUGAUGCCAGAUUGCGACGUUCUUUACAGAAACGCAAUCUUCAUUACCUCACAAAUUCAAUAAUCAGACCUCCAAUCAGUCAAGAAUACCCGCUGAAUUUAA